rnacentral:rRNA from 4 species
UUAAGCGACUAAGCGUACACGGUGGAUGCCCUGGCAGUCAGAGGCGAUGAAGGGCGUGCUAAUCUGCGAUAAGCGCCGGUAAGGUGAUAUGAACCGUUAUAACCGGCGAUACCCGAAUGGGGAAACCCAGUGUGACUCGUCACACUAUCAUUAACUGAAUCCAUAGGUUAAUGAGGCGAACCGGGGGAACUGAAACAUCUAAGUACCCCGAGGAAAAGAAAUCAACCGAGAUUCCCCCAGUAGCGGCGAGCGAACGGGGAGGAGCCCAGAGCCUGAAUCAGCAUGUGUGUUAGUGGAAGCGUCUGGAAAGGCGCGCGAUACAGGGUGACAGCCCCGUACACAAAAGCGCAUGUGCUGUGAGCUCGAUGAGUAGGGCGGGACACGUGGUAUCCUGUCUGAAUAUGGGGGGACCAUCCUCCAAGGCUAAAUACUCCUGACUGACCGAUAGUGAACCAGUACCGUGAGGGAAAGGCGAAAAGAACCCCGGCGAGGGGAGUGAAAAAGAACCUGAAACCGUGUACGUACAAGCAGUGGGAGCCCCACCACCAAAGCAUUCUCUGGUGUUGAAGGCCCUGCAAAGCAGCAUCGCGGUGGCGGAGCGUCGUUUGCGACGCCCAACACACAAAACAAGCGGUGAAUGCUUUGGGGUGGGGUGACUGCGUACCUUUUGUAUAAUGGGUCAGCGACUUAUAUUCUGUAGCAAGGUUAACCGAAUAGGGGAGCCGGAGGGAAACCGAGUCUUAAUUGGGCGUUAAGUUGCAGGGUAUAGACCCGAAACCCGGUGAUCUAGCCAUGGGCAGGUUGAAGGUUGGGUAACACUAACUGGAGGACCGAACCGACUAAUGUUGAAAAAUUAGCGGAUGACCUGUGGCUGGGGGUGAAAGGCCAAUCAAACCGGGAGAUAGCUGGUUCUCCCCGAAAGCUAUUUAGGUAGCGCCUCGUGAAUUCAUCUCCGGGGGUAGAGCACUGUUUCGGCUAGGGGGCCAUCCCGGCUUACCAACCCGAUGCAAACUGCGAAUACCGGAGAAUGUUAUCACGGGAGACACACGGCGGGUGCUAACGUCCGUCGUGAAGAGGGAAACAACCCAGACCGCCAGCUAAGGUCCCAAAGUCAUGGUUAAGUGGGAAACGAUGUGGGAAGGCCCAGACAGCCAGGAUGUUGGCUUAGAAGCAGCCAUCAUUUAAAGAAAGCGUAAUAGCUCACUGGUCGAGUCGGCCUGCGCGGAAGAUGUAACGGGGCUAAACCAUGCACCGAAGCUGCGGCAGCGACGCUGAUGCGUUGUUGGGUAGGGGAGCGUUCUGUAAGCCUGCGAAGGUGACCUGUGAGGGUUGCUGGAGGUAUCAGAAGUGCGAAUGCUGACAUAAGUAACGAUAAAGCGGGUGAAAAGCCCGCUCGCCGGAAGACCAAGGGUUCCUGUCCAACGUUAAUCGGGGCAGGGUGAGUCGACCCCUAAGGCGAGGCCGAAAGGCGUAGUCGAUGGGAAACGGGUUAAUAUUCCCGUACUUGGUGUUACUGCGAAGGGGGGACGGAGAAGGCUAUGUUGGCCGGGCGACGGUUGUCCCGGUUUAAGCGUGUAGGUGUGUGUUCCAGGUAAAUCCGGUUCACUUUAACACUGAGGCGUGAUGACGAGGCACUACGGUGCUGAAGCAACAAAUGCCCUGCUUCCAGGAAAAGCCUCUAAGCAUCAGGUAACAUCAAAUCGUACCCCAAACCGACACAGGUGGUCAGGUAGAGAAUACCAAGGCGCUUGAGAGAACUCGGGUGAAGGAACUAGGCAAAAUGGUGCCGUAACUUCGGGAGAAGGCACGCUGACACGUAGGUGAAGUGAUUUACUCACGGAGCUGAAGUCAGUCGAAGAUACCAGCUGGCUGCAACUGUUUAUUAAAAACACAGCACUGUGCAAACACGAAAGUGGACGUAUACGGUGUGACGCCUGCCCGGUGCCGGAAGGUUAAUUGAUGGGGUCAGCGCAAGCGAAGCUCCUGAUCGAAGCCCCGGUAAACGGCGGCCGUAACUAUAACGGUCCUAAGGUAGCGAAAUUCCUUGUCGGGUAAGUUCCGACCUGCACGAAUGGCGUAAUGAUGGCCAGGCUGUCUCCACCCGAGACUCAGUGAAAUUGAACUCGCUGUGAAGAUGCAGUGUACCCGCGGCAAGACGGAAAGACCCCGUGAACCUUUACUAUAGCUUGACACUGAACAUUGAGCCUUGAUGUGUAGGAUAGGUGGGAGGCUUUGAAGUGUGGACGCCAGUCUGCAUGGAGCCGACCUUGAAAUACCACCCUUUAAUGUUUGAUGUUCUAACGUGGACCCGUAAUCCGGGUUGCGGACAGUGUCUGGUGGGUAGUUUGACUGGGGCGGUCUCCUCCUAAAGAGUAACGGAGGAGCACGAAGGUUGGCUAAUCCUGGUCGGACAUCAGGAGGUUAGUGCAAUGGCAUAAGCCAGCUUGACUGCGAGCGUGACGGCGCGAGCAGGUGCGAAAGCAGGUCAUAGUGAUCCGGUGGUUCUGAAUGGAAGGGCCAUCGCUCAACGGAUAAAAGGUACUCCGGGGAUAACAGGCUGAUACCGCCCAAGAGUUCAUAUCGACGGCGGUGUUUGGCACCUCGAUGUCGGCUCAUCACAUCCUGGGGCUGAAGUAGGUCCCAAGGGUAUGGCUGUUCGCCAUUUAAAGUGGUACGCGAGCUGGGUUUAGAACGUCGUGAGACAGUUCGGUCCCUAUCUGCCGUGGGCGCUGGAGAACUGAGGGGGGCUGCUCCUAGUACGAGAGGACCGGAGUGGACGCAUCACUGGUGUUCGGGUUGUCAUGCCAAUGGCACUGCCCGGUAGCUAAAUGCGGAAGAGAUAAGUGCUGAAAGCAUCUAAGCACGAAACUUGCCCCGAGAUGAGUUCUCCCUGAGACUUUAGGUCUCCUGAAGGAACGUUGAAGACGACGACGUUGAUAGGCCGGGUGUGUAAGCGCAGCGAUGCGUUGAGCUAACCGGUACUAAUGAACCGUGAGGCUUAACCUU